rnacentral:tmRNA from 1 species
GGGGGUGAACUGGAUUCGACGUCGAUAGCUGAGGUGUCGGAAGCGAGCCGAGGUCACCGGAGUCCUCGUUAAAUAGCCGGUAACAACCAUAAGUGCCAGACCAAACCUUGCACUGGCUGCCUAGAUAGACAGCCCGUCCGCCUAGGGGGUUCCUGCCCUCCUAGUCCGGGCGUCGUUCAGCAGGAUGGACUCUCCGGGAUUCCCGGACCGGAGACUCGAGACUGAUUCGGGAUCAGGGCGGCCGGUCGCUCGCCGAUGGAGUCCGGCCUCCCGAAAGCUCGCCGUCGGCUGCGCUCGGAGAUGCCGAUGCUGACGUAUCGACGGACCGGGGUUCGAUUCCCCGCACCUCCACCA